rnacentral:rRNA from 1 species
CUACGUAGGUGGCAAGUGUUGUCCGGAUUUAUUGGGCGUAAAGCGAGCGCAGGCGGUCUCUUAAGUCUGAUGUGAAAGCCCCCGGCUCAACCGGGGAGGGUCAUUGGAAACUGGGAGACUUGAGUGCAGAAGAGGAGAGUGGAAUUCCAUGUGUAGCGGUGAAAUGCGUAGAUAUAUGGAGGAACACCAGUGGCGAAGGCGGCUCUCUGGUCUGUAACUGACGCUGAGGCUCGAAAGCGUGGGGAGCAAACAGGAUUAGAUACCCUGGUAGUCCACGCCGUAAACGAUGAGUGCUAAGUGUUGGAGGGUUUCCGCCCUUCAGUGCUGCAGCUAACGCAUUAAGCACUCCGCCUGGGGAGUACGGCCGCAAGGCUGAAACUCAAAUGAAUUGACGGGG